GGAGGGGUGGCCGAGAGGUCCAAGGCGGCGGUUUGCUAAACCGUGGCGGGGUAAAACCCGCCCGUGGGUUCGAAUCCCACCCCCUCCGCCA
rnacentral:tRNA from 1 species